AGAUGAUUCAAUUGUUGAUUUGUUAAUUCUGUAUGGGGUUAGGGUCACAAUGGAAUGUUAGGUGAAUGAAAUGUUUUGUAUUUUGUAACCUUUUUGUUGAGGAUUGGAUUAAUUGUGUGGAUGAGAAAAUACAGUUCUUUACAAACUAUGGCAUUGAAGUUGUGAUUAUUGUUAUGCUUCUUGCUAACUUUUUAUGUUUUUGCUGAUAAACAUGGCCUUAGCGUUCGUGGAAUAAGGGAUGAUCGGUGAAAGAAGCGGCGAAGGCUUCCUGUAGCUGGAGAUGGAAAGCGAAUUUGAUCUCCUCGGAUUUGGGAAGCCAUUAUUGAGUAUCUUCUACCUAAAGGUUUAGGAAAAACAUACAAGGCUUUGCUUUCUGGCUGCUCAGAGAGUUUGGUAUUGGAAUUGUACCAUAUAGUCCUCUUGGUCAUAGUUUUUUCGGUGACAAAGGAGUUCCGAAAAAUGUACCUGCAGUUAGCACCUUGGUUGUUUAUAAUGGAAAUGCGCUUGCAUCAAUAGUUAAACAGAAGAAGAAAUGCAAAACUGGUAUGUUUACUAUCAUAACAAAUAUUAAAGAAACCCUUCAAAGAGACCAACUACUCGGAUAGCUUUCUCUUCGUGGUUGCUUUGGGAACUACAAUAUCAUAUGUUUAUUCUAUUUGUGCUCUUCUGUAUAUUGCUCUUACUGGAUUUUUGUCUACAACAUACUUUGAAACCAAUUUUGUGCUUAUAACAUGUGUAUUGAUGGGCAAGUAUUUUGAUCUCCUGUUUUCUCUCUAUCAUAAUAGAUUUUAUGUACUGAUAACAUUUUGAUUUAUUCUAUUGAUCAUAUUUUCUCAUAGGAAACUAGAUAUAGGUUACGCCAUUCGGAUUUGAUGAUUAAUUUAAAGGUUCAAGAAAUAUUCGAGAUUAUGUCUAAAAUCAUUUUCUACAUUAGGUUCUUCUUGGACAAGCUUGAUUUCUUAGAGGUUUGUUCCCUGCCUUGAAUAUUCUCAUGACCAAAUUGUUUGAUUUCAUUAAAGACAUUAAUAGGCGUCAAUAAUAAUAGAAGAUUGUGGUAAGUGCUCACCAGAAAGAAGUAAGUUACUAUGAUUUUCAAUAUUUUUUACUUAAUAUUUUUACAUUUUUUAUUUCUAUCUGUGAUUUGUAUUUUAAUUGUUCAAACUUUGACGAAUUUAUGCUUUGAUACAGAUUUUACAAACAUGCAUCUAUUUACUUUGAUGUAGAUUUUCAAAUUUCACUUACUGUCAGGAAAUAGGAACUGUCAAGACUAGAUGUCAAGUUAGGAAAUAGGAAUAUUGUCUUUGGUUGAUAGACAAUAUAAGCACAUGCUAUUUAGAUACCAGAUCUUCCUCAGCUUAUAGCAAAGGUGUUGCAAUUGAUGAAUGAGAUGGGGUAACUUCACAGCUUCCAAAUAAAUCUUGAACUACUCUUUGGUUUUGCCUUUGAACUCCUCAACGUAACAACGACAAAUUGGAACAACCACUCUCAUGAACUAAAUCGAUCACAACCUUCAUCAGAUCCAAUGAUUUGUAGCUCCAAAACCGUGAAGACGCUUCAAUUGUGAGCACACCACAACUUCCAAACCAAAACUGUGGAUCUCUGUCAAACUACAACAUAAACACCGAUUUGCAGCUAUGACACGGCAGCUCUACUUUUGGUAAUAAAUUUGGUUCAGAUUUACCUAUUUUUUGUGGUGUUAGUAUUGUUAGUGUGAUAUUUGGUUUUGAGUAUUUUGUUUACUAUUCAUCUUGCUGGAUUUUUUAUUUUUUCUUGAGUUGAUUUUUCUUUUGUAAUAAUAAUAAAGGUACGAGUGUUGCGUAAACAGUUGUUUGAAAUUUGGCUGGUAAUUCGAAUGAGCCAAUUUUGUGGGGCAUUUGCUUUUAUAAUUUUCACAAGAGUUUUAUUUGAUUUGUUUAUGAAAACUACCUUCUCAUGGAUUAAUGGUGAGAAUGUUGUUCUGUUUGUAAAAGAAACUCUAAAAUGAGAGAAAGAAGCAUUACUGUUC